rnacentral:rRNA from 1 species
UACGUAAGGGGCGAGCGUUGUCCGGAUUUAUUGGGCGUAAAGAGCGUGUAGGCGGCCAGGUAGGUCUGCUGUGAAAACUCGAGGCUCAACCUCGAGACGUCGGCGGAAACCAUCUGGCUAGAGUCCGGAAGAGGAGAGUGGAAUUCCUGGUGUAGCGGUGAAAUGCGCAGAUAUCAGGAAGAACACCCGUGGCGAAGGCGGCUCUCUGGGACGGUACUGACGCUGAGACGCGAAAGCGUGGGGAGCGAACAGG